UACGGGGGGGGCAAGCGUUGUUCGGAAUUACUGGGCGUAAAGGGCUCGUAGGUGGCCCCAUAAGUCAGACGUGAAAUCCCUCGGCUCAACCGAGGAACUGCGUCUGAGACUGUGGGGCUUGAAUCCGGGAGAGGGAUGCGGAAUUCCAGGUGUAGCGGUGAAAUGCGUAGAUAUCGAGAGGAACACCAGUGGCGAAGGCGAGUCCCUGGACAACUUCUGACGCUGAGGCACGAAAGCUAGGGGAGCAAACAGG
rnacentral:rRNA from 1 species